rnacentral:lncRNA from 1 species
GAAUUCUGCCGCGGGUGUCUCGCUCUUGGCAUGGCCGCGGUGGCCGUCGAGGUCACGUGCAUGCGCUGCUGCGAACAGCCACACACGGAGUCGGUCGCGAGUGACAGUGGGGUUUCGUGUAUUUUUGCGGUGUUCAUUUGUUCCCGUAUUUCUUUGGAGACUUUGCCUAAUGCCUUCUUCAGUGUGUCUGCAAAGGUGAUAAUUUUAACUCUAGGGUGGAAUCAGUCGGGGCGGCGUAAAGGUAUCUCAUGCGGUCUUGUGGACAAGUAUCCGUCCGGCACACGCAAAUCGUUUCAAGGUAUCUGCCGCUCCGCAGAAAAGCCAGACAGGCAUGUCUGAGUUAAGGCCUGACACUCUAGGACCCGCCUGCGAGUCAGAUUGCCGCUGUACUUGAGCUGCAUCAAAUCUAUCACCUGUUAAACUUGGCCCAAGGCUAAUGAACGGUUUCUCAGUUGAGUGCGGAAACGUUUCUCAAUAACGGCAGAAAUAAUGCGGAGAGACCACCUGAAUCAGAAGCACUGGCGCUUUGCCACACGAAAAAUUUAUGGCAGGAGUAGCGGUUGUCGAAUUCUUUCCUGGGCCUCGACCUGAAGGUCUUUUACGGCGUGGCUGCGUCGCACUUCCUGUAUAAGGCGACGCAUCCGGACUGCGGCGCCAUGGUUUUUCUGAGGUGCAAGUGUCAGUCAUCUGACGACAAACAAGUGUAGUGGCUACGCAAACGCGGAAGGCUGGAAUGAGCGCGUACCGCAGGAGUGGACGUCUCCAUUUGUUCGUUUUUCGAGGUUUUUACUCCAGCGGGCGCACGCCGAGGUGCAUCUCGUGUCGCCAGUAAACUGGGCUCCAAGACAACCUCUCAAGAGAAAAUGGCGCGGUGAAGAGCCCUUACCAGUCUGAAUGACUCUUGUUUCCAAAGUCUUUAUUGAACAGCAUGUGAAGAGUCGGAUCAACUUGCACUCGCGUCUAUAAUUACCGACUAGGAUUUUCCUACCGUCGGACCGUCAUAAAUAAACAACCGCCGUUUACGUGUUACGGCAUCG